GGUUUGCUUGCCUGCAGGCUUGAAUGAAAUUUUGCUGUUCAGAGACAUAUGCUGUUGUUACUAUGUCUCUCAGCAAUUGUAUACUUAACUGACCAGGAAAAAAUUGAGUUUUACUUUACAUAAAGCUGUGUUCAAGAAAGAAUAGGUUAAUGAUGCAAAGUUUUGAGCAAACUAACAAAAAUUCUGUCAGAGAAACAAAAGGGGAUAUCCAAGUACUUACAUCAUAGAAACAAUUCACCCCAAAAAUGGUAUGAACCUUACAAGCAUCAAGUUAGUUCACCCUAAAAUCUGAUUUCCAAAUUUGGACAGAACGGUCUUUCAAGAGAAAUGUGACAGUGGUUGACGAAGGAAUUGAAACGCAUCAAAUCUGAAAAGGCUACUCUACAUAUUGUGCAGUGCAGGACCUCAAGAGAAUUAUGUCAAUUCGACUUUGUAAGAAAGAACUUGAAGGCGAAAUCAAAAUUAGUCUUGCAGUUGCUGAAACAGAUGCCGUUGCAUGCUGAACCAUCACCAUCGUCAAAUUUAAUUCACCGAGGUGUUUGUUUUAACAGAAAUGGCGCCGUGGGUGCUAUGAAGUGCACCAAGUCAUCGUGCUACUAGUAGUAUCGAUCGCACUUCUGAAUUGUACCUUUGCAGCUGACGUAGCGUAAAACACGAGUGAGUACGGAAAACAUCAAGAUACCGACCAAGAAAACGAAGAGCAUCACGUCGAAGAGAAAACGCUGGUGUAGAGAAAGCUUGCGUGAAGCCGUCCGCAGAUGGGGGGCGCCUUUGUGACGGAUAAUGUAUUCAAUCCAGUAAAUGACACGAUCCAAUGGCGUUUCCAUUUGAUCGCGCAUCAACUCCGAUACUUUUUCCAUCUUUUCCGCGUAGCUGCGAAACAUUUUCAAAACAUCAGGAAUGGAUCAAAGGUUGAUCGAUAAAAACGGGUAAAACUAUCAAUGGGAUGUUAUGAUACACUGCCUCUUGGAUGCUGUUGACUCCGCCGUGCGUGAUGAACAGACGCAUUUUCGGGUGUCCAAGCAGGUCGGCUUGCGGAUGCGUUGGGGCAACCGGGCGAAUGUCGACAGGAAAAUGUGACGCACAUCAUCCGGAAUAUCGGAGUUUCUUAAAAGUGAACCGAAGCUGACGAUGAUGCAUCCGGCAUCACCAGAGUCACUCACGAACUUUUCUAAAUCGUGCGGGAGCGGUUUAGCUGGACCGAGGUUUAUACCGCCAGCUUGGAUCACUGCUGGCGUAGUUGCCAUCUGGUAAUUAAGGCCCAGGUUUUCGAUAUGCAACGUCUCGGCUGCGAGGUGAUCGGCCACGGGCAUUACGAUCCAACGCCAGUAAUAGACGGCCAAGAUGCCGGUCAGGGUGUUGUAUGUUCGCUGCCAAAAAUUCAUCUCAUCCUUAUAGGCUGAACCUACGUGGGAAUAAUGGUCGAAGGCGAGUGGUGAACUGACGGCAUCCAGAUGCCAAGGCAUGGGCAUGGCACCCAUGGUGUAGAUAAAGGGUGCAUCGAAUUUAUAGACUAGCGGAAGAAUGCAUUCGUUUACAGCUGCCUCUACGAUGAUCAAAUCGAAUUUUUCGUGUGAAGCCAUUAGCUGAUGAAAAACGGGAUCUCGAUAGAUGGUUUUACAAUAGAGCUCUACUCUCUUUGGCAAUUCAAAUAAAAGAUAGAAAUUUUUAGUUCCAGCGCUGAAAUCGACGUUGUGAUCGCUGCUGAGCGCAUCUAGUUCUGGUGACGAAAUGGCCCCGUUCCACCAAUCCCUUGAUUAUUGGUUUGACGAAGUUGGUGUGACUGCGUGUUGAGAUUGGCGACAAGAAGAGAAUUCUGUGAGCUGCGGCUAAUUCCGUGGACAAGAAUAAAAUUAAAAAGAAGAAAAUAGAGCUGAUUUGAAGUGAACUGAAGAAAAAUUGUGUUUUGAAUCCAAGGAACCUAGUCAAAUUGGAACCGAGAAAAGUCAUUCAAUCCAAGUGGCCAAACAUCAGAAUUUCUGUUUGGGGGUGGUAUCCAGCGGAUGAUUUCAAAAGAAAAUUUUAAGUGGAGCAUCGCAAGAAGGAAUCGAUGUCGGUUGGAGAAAACAGGAAGGAACAGAUCGAAGGACCGACCAUACAAAAUGUCUUCUAUCGAAUUUUGCUGAUAAAAACACAUCGGCAAAAUUAAUGAAAACGUUUUCCUACCUGCUCGACAUCCCAUCCGGGGACAACCCGCAUUCUAGACUGAGGCUAUUUCUCUUUAUUGAUGUUCCUAAAUACAUUACGGAAGGAUUUACCAAGUAUUAAGUCACAGCGACAUUGUUUUGGUACGGUAACAACUAAAAGCUACAGGGAAUCAUCUUAGCGCUACUGGUUUCAUAUCCACGGAAUAAGUAUUGCAUUUCCGUGUUUAGCUCUAUUAUUAAUUGGUUUUUUUAAAGUCGCGUUUCUGAAUUCUUCCUUUGCGGCUGAAGUAGCGCAAAACACGAGUGAGUACGGAAAACAUCAAGAUACCGACCAAGACAACGAAGAGCAUCACGUCGAAGAGAAAACGCUGGUGUAGAGAAAGCUUGCGUGAAGCCGUCCGCAGAUGGGGGGCGCCUUUGUGACGGAUAAUGUAUUCAAUCCAGUAAAUGACACGAUCCAAUGGCGUUUCCAUUUGAUCGCGCAUCAACUCCGAUACUUUUUCCAUCUUUUCCGCGUAGCUGCGAAACAUUUUCAAAACAUCAGAAUUGGAUCAAAGAAUUUCUUCUGUCAAAUUGUCCCAAUCGAGUCGAAUGGCAUAACCGUCAUCCUGGGCUUUUUGGGCGUUGAGAGGCUGAUCGACUAAAACGGGUAGAAUUAUCAGUGGGAUGUUAUGAUACACGGCCUCUUGGAUGCUGUUGACUCCGCCGUGCGUGAUGAACAGACGCAUUUUCGGGUGUCCAAGCAGGUCGGCUUGCGGAUGCGUUGGGGCAACCGGGCAAAUGUCGACAGGAAAAUGCGACGCACAUCAUCGGGAAUUUCAGAGUUCUUUAUAUAUGUACCAAAGCUAACGAUGAUACAUCCAGCGUCACCGGAGCCAUUCACAAAUGUUUCCAAGUCGUCUGGUAGCGGUUUAGCCGGACCGAGGUUUAUACCGCCAGCUUGGAUCACUACUGGCGUUGUUGCCAUCUGGUUUUCGAUUUGCAACAUCUCUGCGGCCAGGCGAUCGAUCACGGGCAUUACCAUCCAUCGCCAGUAAUAUAUGGCAACAAUGCCGGACAGGGUGUUGUACGUUCGCUGCCAAAAAUUCAUCUCAUCCGCAUAGUUUGAA
rnacentral:lncRNA from 1 species